ACUCAAAGUUAGUGUUGGAUCAUAGUACUCACCUCCGUAACUGAGAUACGCCUCUUGAUUUUAAAUUUUAAAUCUUUUUGGAUUUUUUAUGAAUUUUUAUGUGUAAGUAUUAGCAUUUUAGCUCAAUAGCUUCUAGGCCAUGUGAUCCAUUGACUCAAAAUCAGUGUUGGAUCAUAGUACCACACUAGCUAUGUAAGAUACACCACUUGAUUUCGAAUUUAAUCUUUUAUUUAUAUUUUUUAGGAAUUUUAAUAUGUGAGUAUUAGCUUACUGCCACCAAACACUCUCUCCGUGUUUUAAGUGUAUCACCUCUUAUUUUGAAAAUAGGGAGUCAGUAAAAGCCUCAUCAGUUUUCUGUGUUACCGUGCUCACCGUAGACACACCAAUGCUGGUGCUCUCAAAAUGUUAGAGCACGGCUCUCGGGAGUUGUACUGGACCCGGACCCCGUGAGCGUGCGAGGUUUACCCUGACCGAAUGUCUGAGCACUGCUCUCGGAGUUGUACUGGACCCGGACCCCGUGAGCGUGCGAGGUUUACCCUGACCGAAUGUCUGUCGAAUAUCCAACGUAAAACUAACUUCACCUCGGGUCACCAGUCUAAGACGCCCAGAUUUCCCUCUCCCUGGUUGCUUCCUCCAUCUCUUCUGGGGAGCCUGCAAGGCGUUCCCAGGAUAGCCAAGAGACGUAGUCUCUCCAGUGUGACCGGGUUUUCCUGCCCAGGGAGACGUGUCUGGAACAGCUCCCAAAGGAGGCGUCCAGGAGGCAUCCGGACCAGAUCCCCGAGCUUCUGGUCGGCUUUUGCAAAUUCUGCUAUUUUAGCAUACAGAACGCAUCUUCAGCAUAAGAAAUUCACAUUUGCAUUGUUAAUUGGUCAUAUAGUUAAUAUAUAAGUUUCUCGUUUUGAUUUUAGUUUCACAAGCUUUUAAAAUAUGCAUCAAAUGUCGCAAUCUGCAAAGUUCAUUUCCAAUAAAGUAUACAAAAAUUUUAACCAUAAUUACCUUAAGGACUGGAUUAAAAAAAAAACUUUAAUAAUUAAAAAACCUAUUUAGUAAAAACCAAAUUACAUAAUACAUAAUCUUCAAACUGACUUGUUGUCCUUUUCUUCAAAAAAAAAAACAUUUUUCCUGUUUAUUGCAACUAAAAAAAACGUAAUUUCUUGAUUCAGUUUUUAAUCACUUGUUAUGCUAACUUUAAACUAUUCUUGUAAACAAAUUUGGUUUAGCAUAUAAAUUUGUCAAAUUGUGCUGACAAAGUAGAGUUUAAAGAGUGUAUAAUGCAGCUUCAAACAUAGAUGUCAACCAGCAGCUUUUACAGAAUAAUAAAGUUUAUUAAAAAGAAAAAAAAACAGUAAAAA